rnacentral:rRNA from 1 species
AAUUUUGGACAAUGGGCGCAAGCNUGAUCCAGCAAUGCCGCGUGCAGGAAGAAGGCCUUCGGGUUGUAAACUGCUUUUGUACGGAAAGAAAAGGUUUGUUUUAAUACCUGGGGAUAAUGACGGUACCGUAAGAAUAAGCACCGGCAAACUACGUCCCAGCAGCCGCGGUAAUACGUAGGGUGCAAGCGUUAAUCGGAAUUACUGGGCGUAAAGCGUGCGCAGGCGGUUAUGUAAGACAGUGGUGAAAUCCCCGGGCUCAACCUGGGAAUUGCUUUUGUGACUGCAUCGCUGGAGUGCGGCAGAGGGGGAUGGAAUUCCGCGUGUAGCAGUGAAAUGCGUAGAUAUGCGGAGGAACACCGAUGGCGAAGGCAAUCCCCUGGGCCUGCACUGACGCUCAUGCAAGAAAGCGUGGGGAGCAAACAGGAUUAGAUACCCUGGUAGUCCACGCCCUAAACGAUGUCAACUGGUUGUUGGGUCUCUUCUGACUCAGUAACGAAGCUAACGCGUGAAGUGACCGC